AUGUUCCCCGUGUUCACAAGCAGAGAAGUGUGGGAUUCUGAAUUGAUUAUACACAGUGAAGACAUAAUAACCUUUUCGGAAAGGAAAUUGCUCAAAAGGAGUAAGGGAUUUAGUGCUGUAAAACAUUCAUGUAAGUUAACUGGAAGUGUAAAUCAAGAACCAGCAAAAAUAAACUGCUACAGUGCUGCUUCCCUGAUUGAAAUAUCAUCAUUAAUGUAGAAUUGACUUAAAUAAUUUUUACGAUCUUUCUUCUCUCAGGUAAUCAACAGUUGUUUCUUAAGAGAUAAAUUGUAUUCUUUUUGAAAUUAUUUGGGGAGGGGCAUAGCAUCAGGCAAGUAGUUCAAAAAAACAGUAAAUGAGUGACAGAGUUGAAUUCAAAUCCAGGCCUUUAGUGGAUAGUAAACGUCCCCCAAUGGCCUGUGUGUGGACAGCUUGGUCCCCAGCCUGGGCACCAUUGAGAGGUGAUGGAACCUUUAGCCGGUGAGGGCUAAUGGAAAGAAGUUAGGACCUGGGGGCUGCCCUUGAAGGGGAUAUUGUGACCCUAGCCCUUUCUUUCGUCUGUCUUUGCUUCCAACACCUACUUCUGCCCUUAUGUUCUGCCUUAUCACAGGUCCCAAAGCAAUGGAGCUAAUCAACCACGGACUGCCAAUUCUGAAACCAG
rnacentral:lncRNA from 1 species